CCUACGGGGUGCUGCAGUGAGGAAUAUUGGUCAAUGGGCGAGAGCCUGAACCAGCCAAGUCGCGUGAAGGAUGACGGCCCUACGGGUUGUAAACUUCUUUUGUCAGGGAGCAAUUGGGUCCACGCGUGGGCUUAGCGAGAGUACCUGAAGAAAAAGCAUCGGCUAACUCCGUGCCAGCAGCCGCGGUAAUACGGAGGAUGCGAGCGUUAUCCGGAUUUAUUGGGUUUAAAGGGUGCGUAGGCGGAAUAUCAAGUCAGCGGUAAAAAUUCGGGGCUCAACCCCGUCGUGCCGUUGAAACUGAUGGUCUUGAGUGGGCGAGAAGUAUGCGGAAUGCGUGGUGUAGCGGUGAAAUGCAGAGAUAUCACGCAGAAAUCCGAUUGCGAAGGCAGCAUACCGGCGCCCAACUGACGCUGAAGCACGAAAGCGUGGGUAUCGAACAGGAUUAGAUACCCGGGUAGUC
rnacentral:rRNA from 1 species